UGCUGUCUCUGUGCCACCAUGUCCAUAGCCAGCAUUUGUUAGUUGUAUCUGUCUCCUCGCUGAAUCAUCUUCGUAAAGACUAUCAAGCAAUAGCUUGUCGAAUCCUCCUGCCUAUAAAACACAACAAGAGAGAACAAACAACAAACCAAUGGCGAUGAGUGUUGUUGUUGUUGUUGUUUUGAGGAGUGACCAGUGCUAGUUCCCAACCGGAUCCACCGGUUUCUAUUAAGCUUAAACUAUUGGAUGGACCUGGAGCUUCAUGACCUGUAGAGACCAAUAACAGAGCCAACGCAUUGCGGUCUUCUAUCUCUGUGGCUUUCGGGUUUAUCUCACUCAGGCCCUGUGAAGUAGAAAAGAGGGGUCAAGGGGGUUUGAGAGUUUAGCCAAAAGAAAUGUCAAUACACAUUAAUACAGUAUGUAGAAAGAAGAUUCACCAGCAAGUCAUCCGUGUCUAUCAAGAAAGAAGGUUCUUCAGGCUGAGCAGACUGUUCUUCUUCAUCUUGUUCUUCUUCCUCCUCUUUUUCAUAAUACUCCUGUUAGAACAGCAAAUGCCAACCA